GCGGGGGUAGCCAAGUGGACUACGGCGCAAGCCUUGAGUUGUUUUAAAAGAAAGCUUGUGAUCCAUUGGAUCGCGCGGGUUCGAAUCCCGCCCCCCGCG
rnacentral:tRNA from 1 species